UACGUAGGGUGCGAGCGUUAAUCGGAAUUACUGGGCGUAAAGCGUGCGCAGGCGGUUUUGUCAGUCAGAUGUGAAAUCCCCGGGCUUAACCUGGGAAUGGCAUUUGGGACUGCAAGGCUUGAGUGCGGCAGAGGAGACUAGAAUUCCUGGUGUAGCAGUGAAAUGCGUAGAUAUCAGGAGGAAUACCGAUGGCGAAGGCAGGUCUCUGGGCUGACACUGACGCUCAUGCACGAAAGCGUGGGGAGCGAACAGG
rnacentral:rRNA from 1 species